GACGAACGCUGGCGGCGUGCUUAACACAUGCAAGUCGAACGGAAAGGCGCCGUUGGGGGUAGGCGAGUGGGGAACGGGGGAGAAACAUGCGAAUAACCUGGCCUGGACGUCGGGGUAACCGCAGGAAACGGGGGCCAAUACCGGAAAGGAAUCUGAGCGGGAUGGUGGGGGAUGGUAGGCCUUGGCGGUGUUGGAUGGGCUGGUGGCGUAUCAGCUUGUUGGUGGGGUAGUGGCUUACCAAGGCGGCGACGGGUAGCCGGCCUGAGAGGGCGACCGGCCACCUUGGGACCGACGUGAGGCCCCGGCUCGUACGAGUGGCAGCAGUGGGGAAUCUUGCUCCAGCGGCGCCGGCCUGAUGCAGCAGCGCCGCGUGCGGUAUGGCACCCUUCGGGUUGUAGACCGCUUUCAGCAUGGUCGCUGCUUGUGUUGACGGUACCUGCAGAAGAAGCACCGGCUAACUACGUG
rnacentral:rRNA from 1 species